CUUCAGGAUUCUCAGUCUUCCCUCCGGGAGACUUUUGGCCAGUCUUGUCUCGCUCCAACCUCCUACCCCCACCCCAUUCCUCAGUGCAUUCGUGAAUUUCUCCAAGCAGGCCUUUCCAGAUCGACACUAAGUUCCAAUCCCGAGCUGUGUGACCCAGCACCAAUUCAGUCACGAUGAUGACUUGCAAUUGCUUAAUCAGUUGGCCUUUCCUCCUAGCUGUGAAGUUUACCGUGCAGGAUUGCAAACACCAGAGAGAAAAUCAGUCUCUGGAAUGAUGCCUUUGAUGGACCAAGAUGCAGCUGAUGAAGCAUUGAACCAAUUAGCACCUAGCAGGAGGGCACCCUUGCUCUGUGUCCUUGAAGGUUAAAGCUGUCAAAAAGUGGUCUCCCUCAAGUUCGGCCAUCUUGCUCUCAGAGAUCUAGAACUGGUAGGAGAAUAUAGCCUUGAUAGUGGAGAGGAAACUAUUGCUGUUGUGAGGGACUGAGAGAACCAGGCAGAGAGCCCAGAUUGACACAGCAGGUGACAAAAGAGGCGCGCCUACCUUGGGGAAUACGGAGGAACAGAGGAAAGUGAGACCAGGAGAAAGAGCAGGGGGGCGGGUGUGCAGGCCGGGCGCCGUGGCUCACGCCUGUAAUCCCAGCACUUUGGGAGGCCAAGGCAGGCGGAUCACAAGGUCAGGAGUUCGAGACCAGCCUGGCCAAUAUGGUGAAACCCUGUCUCUACUAAAAAUACAAAAAUUAGCUGGGCGUGGUGGCGAAUGCCUGUAGUCCCAGCUACUCGGAAGGCUGAGGCAGGAGAAUCGCUUGAACCCGGAACCCGGGAGGCAGAGGUUGCAGUGAGCCGAGAUGGCGCCAUUGCACUCUAGCCUGGGCGACGGACUGAGACUUCGUCUCAAAAAAGGGAGUGACUGUGUUGCUUUUGCUUUCUUGGAAAUCUUUUUUCUUAGUAAUUUUCCUAAAGUAAUUUCCUUAGGAAAUAAUGUAUUGCUAAGAGUAUUGCAACUUUUAGUAUUGACGAGGUACUUUUACUGAA
rnacentral:lncRNA from 10 species